UAUUUGGCUGUGACGCCCAUUCCAGGCUUUUAUCGCCCUAUCCCCUAGAGCUCAUCUGAGCCCUAAAAUGGCGGCGUUCGUACUGAGGGAAAGUACAGCUGGCGUACCAGGUGUGGAAAGCAGCCAAUGAACAAAUCUGAGGGAAGUACAGAAGCUCGCCAACUUUUGUUUUGUGAUGAAGACCUCUGGGCAUUGUAAUAUUAACAUUUGUUCUGGAAGCACAUUGUUCUGUUCAGAGGGGAUUUCCACAUCUGUUAUGAAAUAAGUACUUAAGAUAUACAAACAUACAAAGAAUAACACAAUGAGAGAUGCAAAAAAAAAAAAAAAUACAGUGAACCUCUGUUUUAUCAUCCAGACGUAAAAAUAAUACAUAACUAUGAUAGUUGAAGUUCUCUGCGUACCCAUUCCUGGAUUCAUCUCUUUUCUUCCUUCAUACCCAGAGAUUUCAUCCAUUUAUUUGUCAGAGAGAAAGAGCACAAGCAGGGGGAGCAGGCUCCUUGCUGAGCAAGGAGCCAAACGUGGGACUUCCUCCCAAGAUCCUGGCAUCAUGACCUGAGCUGAAGGCAGACGCUUAACCAACUGAGCCACCCACGUAUCCCAAAGACCAGAAGUUUUUUGAUGAAAUCCAUUUCAUAAAGUUUUUUUCUUAGAUGGCCUUCCAGUACAGUGUGGAAUGGGGUAGAGAGGACCCUGAGAUCAUGACCUGAGCUGAAAUUAAGAGUUGGAGGCUUAGCUGACUGAGCCACCCAGGUGAUUUUAUUAAAGCACGGGGACAGAACCCAUGGACAGAAAGAGCUGCUGCCUAGAUCUCUUAAAUCUAUCUUCUCCUGUGUGUCAUUCAAAGCCAUUGGUUCCUUGAUGUUGUUUAGAUGAUCUGUCCAUUGAUAACAGGAAGUGGGCAGGUAUUUCAGAUUUCACUACUGCUAUUCAGCUUAGCACUGGAAGUUCUACCCAGGACCGUAAGGGUGACUCCAUUUGUGCAGAUCUCAUGGCAACAAAUGUGGCUUAAUAUCCAGACAAGGCAUGCAUCUAGUCUACUUUGGAGUGAGAAAAAGAAGCCCUUUGGAGCUGGAGUAAUUUUAGAGAUGAGAGAGGUGAAGAAGGGGAUCUCCUUAUUUUGUAUAUGAACUGAAGCAGUUUCUUGAGCUCAUCUUCAAUGUGAACAUGUAUGAGAUAGUCCAAAAUAAAACAUAGAAAUAGCUUUUGGAAUUUAUAAUAUGAAGCCCCAUCCAUGUUACAGACUGAACUCAGAGAAUCAUAUGUGAGGUAGACCCAAAUCAUCAUGGUAAAGACUGAAAACUAGAUAUUGGAAACAAUUCUCAUAAAAGGGGAGAUCGAAGUUGUGGUCUGAACCUAACUGAAUUGAUUGCCUUUUUAAAAGGGCAUUCACACAUACAUUGUCCAGGAGAUUUUUAAAGAGAUCAGAUUCUUACAACAAAAUGUGCAAAAUGCCCAACAAUCCAAAAAUACAAAGAACUAGGGGAAAUACGUGACAAUGAAUAGGUGCCAGACACAGGAUAUUAGAGAUUUUGGAAUUAUCAUAGAGAUUUUAUUUUUAUUUAUUUUUUUAAGAUUUUAUUUGACAGCGAGAGAGGGAACACAAGCAGGGGGAGUGGGAGA